rnacentral:rRNA from 1 species
AAUGAGCCUGCGAGUUGUGGUGUCUGGCAAGGUUAAGCAAACGCGAAGCCGUAGCGAAAGCGAGUCUGAAUAGGGCGCUUAGUCAGAUGCUGCAGACCCGAAACGAAGUGAUCUAUCCAUGAGCAAGUUGAAGCUAGUGUAAGAACUAGUGGAGGACUGAACCCAUAGGCGUUGAAAAGCCCCGGGAUGACUUGUGGAUAGGGGUGAAAGGCCAAUCAAACUUCGUGAUAGCUGGUUCUCUCCGAAAUAUAUUUAGGUAUAGCGUUGUGUCGUAAUAUAAGGGGGUAGAGCACUGAAUGGGCUAGGGCAUACACCAAUGUACCAAACCCUAUCAAACUCCGAAUACCUUAUAUGUAAUCACAGCAGUCAGGCGGCGAGUGAUAAAAUCCGUCGUCAAGAGGGAAACAACCCAGACUACCAGCUAAGGUCCCUAAAUCUUACUUAAGUGGAAAACGAUGUGAAGUUACUUAAACAACCAGGAGGUUGGCUUAGAAGCAGCCAUCCUUUAAAGAAAGCGUAAUAGCUCACUGGUCUAGUGAUUUUGCGCGGAAAAUAUAACGGGGCUAAAGUAAGUACCGAAGCUGUAGACUUGAUUUUAUCAAGUGGUAGGAGAGCGUUCUAUUUGCG